AAACGAUCUUGAUUCCACAUCGAAUUUAAAACUUUUGCGAUAAUUUUCUAAAUGUUUGUGGUUUUUCAAUCAACUUCGCGUGAUCGGUGCCCGAUAGGUUCCAUGGACGUUCAAUUAUUCCUUCGCAGCGAGCUUUUCGGAGGUUCGUUGAAAAUGGAUAAGAAACUGGAUUGUUGAGAAGUUAUUAUGAUCAAGGAGUUGUGUGUGUGAUUUAAACCCAGUGAAGUGUUCGGUUGGUGUUUUUCAUUAAAAGAAAGUGUCCUACCAUUCAAAUGAACACGAAAGUGCUGAUUGGCUACCGGAGUAAAACAGCGGAACAACUUCAAUUCUCCAACGACACGGAUGAACGGGCCAUGAUAAAAUAUUGUCCAGCUGGGCAGCGCAUCAAGGAAAUUGAAUCCAGACCACACCGGGUACAACGUAUUCU